AUUGAACGCUGGCGGCAUGCCUUACACAUGCAAGUCGAACGGUAACGGGCCUUCGGUUGCCGACGAGUGGCGAACGGGUGGGUAAUACAUCGGAACGUGCCCGAUCGUGGGGGAUAACGAGGCGAAAGCUUUGCUAAUACCACAUACGAUCUACGGAUGAAAGCAGGGGACCGCAAGGCCUUGCGCGGACGGAGCGGGCUAUGGCAGAUUAGGUAGUUGGUGGGAUAAAAGCUUACUAAGCCGACGAUCUGUAGCUGGUGGCAGAGGAUGAUCGGCGACAUUGGGACUGAGACACGGCCAAGGCUACUGCGGGAGGCAGCAGUGGCGAAUGUUGGACAAUGGGCGCGAGUCUGAUACAGUGAUGCGGCGUGUAGGACAAAGGCGCUGGGGUUGUAAAGUGCGUCUGUACGGAACGAACAGCUUUCUUCUAAGACGGGGGGUUAAUGACGGUACCGGAAGAAUAAGCACCGGCUAACUACGUG
rnacentral:rRNA from 1 species